rnacentral:rRNA from 1 species
GGGGAAUCUUGCGCAAUGGGCGAAAGCCUGACGCAGCAACGCCGCGUGAACGAUGAAGGCCUUCGGGUCGUAAAGUUCUGUCAAGGGGGACGAAUACUGACGGUACCCCUGGAGGAAGCUCCGGCUAACUACGUGCCAGCAGCCGCGGUAAUACGUAGGGAGCAAGCGUUGUCCGGAAUUACUGGGCGUAAAGGGCGUGUAGGCGGCCGAUCAAGUCAGGUGUGAAAUUUCAGGGCUCAACCCUGAGCGUGCACUUGAAACUGGUUGGCUUGAGUGCAGAAGAGGAAAGUGGAAUUCCCAGUGUAGCGGUGAAAUGCGUAGAUAUUGGGAGGAACACCAGUGGCGAAGGCGACUUUCUGGUCUGUAACUGACGCUGAGGCGCGAAAGCUAGGGGAGCGAAC